rnacentral:pre_miRNA from 1 species
AUCAUCUAAGAUUCUUGUUAAAAUGCAGAAUUCUAAUUUAGUAGGUCUGGAGUGGGGCCUGAGAUUCUGUAUUUCUAACAAGUUCCCAGCUGAUGCCAA